rnacentral:rRNA from 1 species
UACAGAGGGUGCGAGCGUUGUUCGGAAUUAUUGGGCGUAAGGGCGCGUAGGCGGUGCGGUAAGUCACCUGUGAAAUCUCCUGGCUCAACUGGGAGCUUGCAGGCGAAACUGCCGUGCUGGAGUGUGGGAGAGGUGCGUGGAAUUCCCGGUGUAGCGGUGAAAUGCGCAGAUAUCGGGAGGAACACCGGUGGCGAAGGCGGUUCUCUGGGCCUUACCUGACGCUGAGGAGCGAAAGCGUGGGGAGCGAACAGG